rnacentral:rRNA from 1 species
GUGCCAGCCGCCGCGGUAAUACGGAGGAUGCAAGCGUUAUCCGGAUUCAUUGGGUUUAAAGGGUGUGUAGGCGGGACAAUAAGUCAGUGGUGAAAUCUUUCGGCUUAACCGGAAAACUGUCAUUGAUACUGUUGUUCUUGAGUUCAGUUGAGGUGGGCGGAAUGUGUAAUGUAGCGGUGAAAUGCAUAGAGAUUACACAGAACACCGAUUGCGAAGGCAGCUCACUAAACUGUUACUGACGCUGAGGCACGAAAGCGUGGGGAGCGAACAGGAUUAGAUACCCUGGUAGUCCACGCUGUAAACUAUGAAUACUAGAUGUGUGCGACAUAUUGUACGCGUCUAAGCAAAAGCAUUAAGUAUUCCACCUGGGGAGUACGGCCGCAAGGUUGAAACUUAAAUGAAUUGACGGGG